UACGGGGGGUGCAAGCGUUAAUCGGAUUUACUGGGCGUAAAGCGCGCGUAGGUGGCCAAUUAAGUCAAAUGUGAAAUCCCCGAGCUUAACUUGGGAAUUGCAUUCGAUACUGGUUGGCUAGAGUAUUGGAGAGGAGGGUAGAAUUCCAGGUGUAGCGGUGAAAUGCGUAGAGAUCUGGAGGAAUACCGAUGGCGAAGGCAGCCAUCUGGCCUAAUACUGACACUGAGGUGCGAAAGCAUGGGGAGCAAACAGG
rnacentral:rRNA from 1 species